AAUUGCUGUAAACAAAAAAUGCUAUCAAAAAUGGAAGUGUUAAUUAUUUAUUUUAAUCAAUCAACAAAAUCCAUUGAAUGAACAAAAGACAAAUCUAAAUAAAAUCAAUAUUUGAUGUGACCACCUUUUGCCAUCAAAACAGCAUUAAUUCUUCUAGGUCCACUUGCACACAGUUUUUGAAGGAACUGGGCUGGUAGGUUGUAUUAAACAUCUUGGAGUACAAACUAACCAUAGAUCUUCUUUGGAUGUAGCUUUCUCACAUCCUUCAGUCUCUUCAUGUAAUCCCAGACACACUCCAUGAUGUUGAAGUCAGGGCUCUACCAGUAAUUCUUGUUUUUCUUUACGUUUAAGAUUGGUCUUAAUGACUUUGUUUGUUUGCGUUUGCUCACUUAGCAUUUUGUAUAUUGAUAAAAAUAAACAAUCAUCAUUAUGCAUGUGUAUAUAUGUAUGUAUGUGUAUAUAUAUUCUUUAAGAUAUAAUUGUCAGGAUCUGGGUUUGUGUGUGUUUGUGUUUUUUGCUACAUGUGUUCAUUCUCAGGUGGUGCUGGAGCUCUCAGGUGUGCUGGGUGACAGGUGCGACUUGUUCCACUGAUUACCAUGAGGAGUACUUAAGCAGGAGCCUGCCAGCACUUCGUGGUGAGAGUGUUUUGCCACCGUUCUUCGACCUUUGAUUAUCUUUGUUUUUGCUCUUCUGGAGAUUUUGAAAGCCUAUGCUCUGGAUCUAUGUCACUGAGUUUCUGACUUUGUUUUUUGGAAGCUAUUCUGGAUGAUCAAGCCUGUCUACACUUUGAGGAUUGCCUAUCCUAUCUUCUGUCGUCACUUGGAUUCGCAUCAAGCUGGCAGCUUUCCUGCUCUCUACGUCUCCUGAGCCAAGCCACAAGCGUACCCUGUCCACCCUCCAACAUAAGCCACCGCACAUCAACCUAAUACCUUUGCUCCAAGCUCACACUGAAGAGCACCAAGUGAACUCUCUACGGAUAUUCCUGCUUAAGACCUAGAUCCUGAAUCUCAUUCCCCCUGGCGACCUGACCACCAUUACCCCUGAGAUUCUCGUCAGUUUCGUUCCUGUUUAUGUUUUUUCAAUAAAACAGUCUUUAUUUUA